UACGUAGGGGGCAAGCGUUGUCCGGAUUUAUUGGGCGUAAAGAGCGUGUAGGCGGCCAGGUAGGUCAACUGUGAAAACUCGAGGCUCAACCUCGAGACGUCGGUUGAAACCACCUGGCUAGAGUCCGGAAGAGGAGAGUGGAAUUCCUGGUGUAGCGGUGAAAUGCGCAGAUAUCAGGAAGAACACCCGUGGCGAAGGCGGCUCUCUGGGACGGUACUGACGCUGAGACGCGAAAGCGUGGGGAGCGAACAGG
rnacentral:rRNA from 1 species